UUACCUGUAAGCUUAUAGUGUUUUUCUUGUACUUUUCUUCGUAAAUUACACAAAAGGGAUUUCUGAGAAAUAUGUUUGCCUUUCUUUAGAGACCUUGAUUACACUAAAACAUAAGCUUAAGCAACGGUCGCCAUGUUGGCCAUGUUUAAGAUUAUGUGAUGAGCAGACAGUACACUGACCCCCAGUCCAUGGACUGCCCCAAUGGAGUACCCAAAUGUACUACCCUAAAGUGGACUACCCCUAAAAAUAAUUUUCCAAAUGAGUAAUAUUUAAAGUUGUAAGCUACUGUUCCUUGCUUAUUUUUGUUCUGGAACCACUGAUCACAAAAUGUUUAUCCAGCCUCCCAUUGUUCAGAAUUUAUACCUGUAGUAGUCAAUUGAUAACAAUCAAUAUCGCAAAUCUAUUGAUUCAAUCGAUAUCAACCGCCAAUUGCUAUCUAUUCUUAUGUUUGUUUCCUAAUGCAAAAACAGUAAUCAAUAUUAUAGCUGAAAUUGUGAUAUUUUGGCAAUAAGAUUGGGUAACCUGAAAACACUGACCCCCGGUCCACAGACCCCCACUACGGACUGGGUCUGCGGACUACCCUAUGGUCCAGUCCAUGGACUACCCCUGCGGCGCCCCUCUACGGACCACCCCAAAAACAGAAUAACAAUAAUAAAUAAUGAUUUCACUUAUGGGUUGUCUAAUAGAUUACUUGUGUCAGUGAAAUGGCAAGCGUUAUGCUGUGCAAAUGUAACAAACUUAGGUUUUUGAAAACCCCCAAAUGAUAUCUAAAAGCUGUUUUCGGCAUAAGGAGAUGGUGAUGGCUAAAAGAAGGAAAGUUGUUACCUUACAUUCGUGGCUCAAUGUGGUUACGGAGAUGUGUUUUUAGGUUGUUCGCUUGUUUUACAACAUGUAACUCCGCUGAGCAAAUUGCAAAGCCUGGAACUAAUUCACAAACCCAUGGGAGAAUGGGCUGCACAAGCUGGCGGAGGGGAAGGAGCACAAAUUUCGAGACUUCCUGGAGGCUUCCCAGUCUUUCAUGUAUAGCCACAGCAAAGGUAAUGGCAAUGUGUGUAAUGAUACAACUUGCUCCCGAGCUUGAACCCAAGUCUGUUACAUUUGGACAAUGUAACAUUCCAAAUUUCACCAACACGAGUAAUCUGUUGGACAGCCCGUAAGUGAAAUCUUCAUUAAUUUUAUUAUUUUUAUUCUAUUUUGGGGGUGGUCCGUAGAGGGGGUCGGUAGAAGUAUUCCUUGGCCCUUCAUAGGGUCGUCUAUAGACCCGGUACAUAGUGGUGAUCCAUGGACCGGGGGACCGUGUUUUCGGGUUACCCAUAAAAUUGACUUACCUCACUGCCUUGUUGUCUUUUCUGUUGUCAUCUUGCUUCUCAGCUUGAUCCAAAGCCUUUUAAGCGAGUUAUGCAUUUUUGGUUUUUCACUCCUAAGAAAAAGUCAGUCCAUUUUGGACUGCCCAGCACUCCAAGCACAAAAAAAAAUGCAUUGAAAGCAUGUCAGUCACCUCAAUUCUUAUGCAGAAUAAUAGGAGAGGGUUAAGUGCUCCUUUUAAAUUCCAAGCUAAAUUCAUCUCCAUAGUGUAUGCUACAAAGCUCUGAAUCGAAGCCAGCUAGCCAUCUGGACUUGGACAAGAUGCUGCCAGGACCUGCCAUGGACACAUUUGAAGGCCAAGUGGAAUGCUGGGUGAACAAAUUGACUGUUACCAGGGGAAGGGAGUAGAUAGUUCUCAAUGCAAUUUGAGAAAAAAACUGGAUUGAGAACUAUCUGCUCCCUUCCUGUAGUAAGAGUCGAUUUGUUCACCCGACAUUCUGCUCGGUUUCGAAUGUGUCCAUGGCAGGAAACUGACAUCCUGAUUCGUACCCAGGUCCCCAUUCAGUGUGAGAGAACUUCGUUUCCUGCCUCUUUCGCAAGCUCAGCUGGCAGGAAAGACAUAUCUCUUCGCCACCAAGCAAGUUAUAUCGACAAAGACAGAGCUGGACAAUCAAAAUGAGACAGACAGAGGGGUGGACAAGUAGAUGGAGCCACAAACACACAAAGAGAAAACUCACACGCAAUUCCCAAAACUACCAGUCAUUGGUGAAACGCAGAAGAUGAAAACGAAUGAAGUUGAGACACCAAUCAAAAAUUAAGUUGCUACUUGACACUGUAAUGACAUUCGUAUUCCAAAAGUCAACCUAGAGGUCGCCAAGAGAUCACCCUUGAAGAAAAAAUACAGAUCAGAGGAGUGGUUACUAAGUAAGCCAUCAAGCAGAGCAGGGAAAUCAAAAAAGCGAUUGGGAGUGGAUCCUUUCCCAGAUAGCCACCGACACACCAAAGACAGCAAGUAUGAACCCUCAAACACCAACAGCAAGUUGUUAGAGUCAUAGAUCACAGGAUUAAGGACUGCGGACCCAGGACUGGGGACCCAGGCCAGAGGACUCUUACAGAGGACCCAGAACCAAGGACCCACGACAGAGGACCCAGGACAGAGGACCCAGGACAGAGAACUCAGAACAGAGGACCAAAGACUCAGAACAGAGUAUCAAGGAGCAAGGAUAGGACUGAGGACUGACAACUGGGGAUCAAGAACAGUGGAUGAAAGCAAGCCUUGAAUGAUGAACUUUCAUAAGUUGAAUUAUAGAUAUAUUAAGGUAUAUGAGAUAUUACCGGUAGCAGAGAUGGCACAGUGCACCUUGCCCAGAGGGUUUUUCUCUGGGUACUCCGGUUUCCCUCGUUCUUGAAAAACCAAUAUUUCCAAAUUCCAAUUGAACAAAAUUUCCCUCACUCUUGAAAAACCAAUAUUUCCAAAUUCCAAUUGAACAAAAUUGGCGACAUAUUGCUUUGGGCCAACUGAGAUGAAAAAUUAUUUGAUUACUCAAGGUAAACAUUUGUAAUACCAAUUUAUUACUCUCUGUUCAUUUCCUAGUUACAUGUGCACAUGUGGUUUUGCAGUCUCCUUGCAGCUGUUAUUUUAGUUAAUGAGCAAAUUGGGAAGAAGCUUUACUUUUUUUCUGUCUUUUUUAAAGAUCUCUUUUUUUAACCAUAGGUAAAGGGAAAUUCCCAAGUCAAUCAAUCGAUCAAUCAAUCGAUCAAUCAAUCAAUGAAAAAAUCACUCAGUAACUCAAUGGUUAAGAUAAAAUGCCCAGGAUAUGCAGCUAACUAAAAUAGCAAUUACCAACCUUUAAAUUUAUCUAGUUGCAAUUUAAAGAUCUUUAACAUUGUAUUCCAAUACCACUUUGAUGCACAUGUAACUAGUUCCCAUGUAAACAGAGUAUUGAACUGACCAGUGUGUUGUGUGGGUGUCAUUCAUUUGCAAAUAAGUGGCUUGCUUGUUACAUUUUCCACACAAUUCAUUAUAUCAGAGCCGGAAAUUAUGCCAAUAGCAAUCAUCACUUAAAAAUUAACUGAAACUCAAUUAUGGUUAAAUCUGUUUCUGUGAAUUAAAAGUUUGGUAAUUCUUGUUGUAUUUUCAUGCGUACAGACAUAAAACAAAAAAAGAGGCGACAUUUUGUUCCAAAUUAUCUUAAAAAGUAAAUUUUCGCAAUUAUUAUUGUCAAAUUCAGAAAUGGACAAUAAAAUUUCAAAACCCAUGUAGAAAUAAACCAAAAUAUGUUAUUCUUUAUCCAAGAAAAGAAACCUAAACUGAACACUCAGUCUGACUCAAUCAAAGUUAAACUAUUUAGUUCUUAAUUAACACUCUCUACAUUCCACAUUGUAGUGUUUUUAAUCAGAUGCAACAAGACUUUGACACGCAUUCUUAGUAUUUAAAGAACUCAUAAGAAUAGGACUUUUAGUUUUAGGAAUUUGAAAAUGAUGAAUGAGUCAUCAAAAGGUCUAUCAAAAUUAUUAUUGCUAAUUGUUAUUCUUAAUUGUUUGUCCAAAGCCUCUGUUACUAGAAAAUACAGUCAAAACUUAUUAACCAUUUUAUUUAUUUUGUACACGUGUACAGACAUUUUGGGUGCUAAUUAAAAAUUCUCAUUUUUUAAUUCUAAGAUGCUCUUAAAUUUAAAGCUAAAAAUAUUCCUGUUGAGUUCUAACAACAAUUUAUUUCAGUUCCUAAAAAGAAAUUGAAGUUACACUUUUUUGAUAUAUGUACAGGCAUUUUGGUGUACCACCAAAGAAGUCAGACAGCAGGAUACGGUAAAUUUGAUUUUACAGAAGCCACUUAUUUGCUCAUGAAAACCUAGUUUCUCCUUCUCACAAGAUUCCUAUUGAGCAGCUUUAUGGAGAAAUCUGUUCACUUCCAUUGGUUUUCCUCGGAAAUCUUAAAUUGAGCUUGGAGUUGAAAAACAAUAUCUUUUGCCAACAUCAGCAUAAGAAACCUUUUAAGGUUCUCUUCAUUUUUAUGUCUGA